rfam:Populus trichocarpa scaffold_4_contig_154, whole genome shotgun sequence.
UCUAGAACUCGAGAUAUGGGCUAAACACUGAAUAGUGUCUGGGCUACAAGACAGAUUCCGACUUUUCUUUUGUUGCUACAAUUUGAGCUUGAAAAUGACUGUUUUGAACCUUGGACUCCAAUGAAAAUUUUAGGCCUAUAUCUUAGCUUUCCAUC